AGGACGAACGCUGGCGGCGUGCUUAAUACAUGACAAGUCUAACUGUACUUUAGAUAGCAAUAUCGAAAAGUAGGGUGGCGCACGGGUGCGUAACGCGUAGGUAAUCUGCCCUGAGGUCUGACAUAACCCGUCGAAAGGCGGGCUAACAUCAGAUGAUAUAUAAUCACGACAUCGUGGAAAUAUCAAAUCUUCGGAGCCUUGGGAUGAGCCUGCGUCUGAUUAGGUAGUUGGCGGAGUAAUAGCCCACCAAGCCUACGAUCAGUAGCUGGUCUGAGAGGAUGAUCAGCCACACUGGAACUGAGACACGGUCCAGACUCCUACGGGAGGCAGCAGUAAGGAAUAUUGCUCAAUGGGGGAAACCCUGAAGCAGCAACGCCGCGUGAAGGAUGAAAUACUUUGUAUGUAAACUUCUGUAAGAUGGGAAAAAUAUUCUCCUCGGGAGAAUUGAUUGUACCAUCAGAGUAAGCCCCGGCUAACUACGUG
rnacentral:rRNA from 1 species